rnacentral:rRNA from 1 species
UACGUAGGGGGCAAGCGUUGUCCGGAUUUAUUGGGCGUAAAGAGCGUGUAGGCGGUUUGGUAGGUCCGCUGUGAAAACUCGAGGCUCAACCUCGAGACGCCGGUGGAAACCAUCAGACUAGAGUCCGGAAGAGGAGAGUGGAAUUCCUGGUGUAGCGGUGAAAUGCGCAGAUAUCAGGAAGAACACCCGUGGCUAAGGCGGCUCUCUAGUACGGUACUGACGCUGAGACGCGAAAGCGUGAGGAGCGAACAGG